rnacentral:rRNA from 1 species
UACGAAGGGUGCAAGCGUUGUUCGGAUUUAUUGGGCGUAAAGGGCGUGUAGGCGGAAAAAUAAGUCAGGUGUGAAAUCUCGGAGCUUAACUCCGAAACUGCGCCUGAAACUGUUUAUCUAGAAUCUCGGCGGGGGAGGCGGAAUUUCGCAUGUAGGAGUAAAAUCCGUAGAUAUGCGAAGGAACACCAGAGGCGAAGGCGGCCUCCUGGACGAGUAUUGACGCUGAGGCGCGAAAGCGUGGGGAGCAAACAGG